rnacentral:SRP_RNA from 1 species
GCCAGAUGCGGUGGUGCAUGCCUAUAGUCCCAGCUAUCCAGGAGGCUGAGGUGGGAGCACUGCUUAGCCCAGGAGUUCUUGGCUGUAAUAUGCAUGCCAGUCAGGUGUCUGCACUAUGUUUGGCAUCAGUAUAGUGACCUCCUGGGAGCGUGGGACCACCAGGUUGCCUAAGGAGGGGUGAACUAUCCCAGGCUGGAAAUGAAGCAGGUAAAAACUCCUGUGCUAGUUAGCAGUGGGAUUGUGCCUGUGAACAUAGUCACUGCACUCCAACCUGGGCAACACAGUGAGACCCCGUCUCU